rnacentral:tRNA from 1 species
CAAGAGAUAGUUUAAUAAGAAUAAAAGCUUUGGGAGCUUUUGGUGUAAGUAAUUUAUUCUCUUGA